rnacentral:rRNA from 1 species
UUGAAAUUAUUUUGUUAUUAAAAUUUUUAUUUUUUUAUUAUUUAAAAGAAUUAAUUUUUAUUUUAUUAUUUAAAAAGAAAAAAUAAUAUUUAUUAUAGUUGAAAGUAUUGUGAAAGAAUUUUUUUAAUUAAUAAAAAGAAAAAUUUAUUUUUUGUACCUUGUGCAUCAGGGUUUAUUAAAUUUAAGUAUAAAUUUAUUAUUCUCGAAUUUAAAAGAGCUAAAUAAUUAUUAUUUUUAUUGUAGAAUAAAUAUAUUUAAUUUUUAUUUAGUAGUGAAAUGUUAUUCGUUUUUAAAUAUAUCUAGUUAUUUAAGAAAAAAAUUUAAUUUUAAUAUUAUUAAUAUUUAUUUUAUUAUUUAAUUGGAUAUUAAUAAUAAUUAAUACUUUUAGGGAUUAGCUUAAAAGUAUAUUUUUAUUAAAAAAUAUAUUUAAAUAUAAUUUAGGAUUAGAAAUUUCCAUAAUUUAAAGUAGGUUAUACUUUAAUUUUUUUAUAUAUAAUUUUUAUUUUUUAUAAAUUUUUUAUUAAAUUUUAAAUUUUAAUUAUUUUUAUUUAGUAAUAAUGAUAAAAUUAGUAUAAAUUUUUAAAAUAAUAAAAAUUUAUUUUAGGUUAGUUUAAGGAAUUCGGCAAAUAUAAUUUUCACCUGUUUAAUAAAAACAUGUCCUUUAGUUUAAAUUUUAAGGUCUAGCCUGCCCGAUGAAGAAUUGAAUGGCCGCGAUAUUUUGAUCGUGCUAAGGUAGCAUAAUCAUUAGUUUUUUAAUUAAAAGCUAGUAUGAAGGGUUGGAUGAAAAAUUUUCUGUCUCUAAUUAAUUUUAUUAGAAUUUUAUUUUUAAGUUAAAAAGCUUAAAUAUAAUUAAAAGACGAGAAGACCCUAUAGAGUUUAAUAUAAUAAUUUAUUUAUAUCUUUAGAAUUUAAUUUAUAGAUUAAAAUUUAUAUUUAAUUGGGGUGAUUAAAAAAUUUAAAAAACUUUAAUUUUAUAUAAAUAUUAAUUAAUAAAUAUAUGAUCCAAUUUUUUUGAUUAUAAGAAAAAAUUACCUUAGGGAUAACAGCGUAAUCUUAUUAAAGAGUUCAAAUCGAAAAUAAGGAUUGCGACCUCGAUGUUGGAUUAAAAUUUGUAUUUGGUGUAGAAGUUAAAAUACUAAGUCUGUUCGACUUUUAAAAUUUUACAUGAUCUGAGUUUAAACCGGUGUAAGCCAGGUUGGUUUCUAUCUUUAAUUUAAUAAUAUAUUUUAGUACGAAAGGACCAAUUAUA